CUGGAGAGGUGUUCAAACACAGGCAAAAGUCAAACAAGAGAGCAGCAAUGGACUUGAUACAGCUAAAGGACAAGAAAGAUUAUGGAGAAUUCCUUCGGCUUGCCAGGAUAGUGAAAACUAUUUGUGGAAUUAAUCUUUCUCUGAAAAGGCAUUCUGGUCUAAGCAUGGUGAAACAAUGGGCCGAAACUAACCAGAGAACAAGACCAGAUCUUGCAAGAGAUCUCUUAUUCAACAUUGAUAUAUUUACCAGAAACAAGCUUAGUGGAGGGUGUGCAAAGCUGAAAAGUCUGCUUUCCACUUCACCAUUACAAAGGCGGCAUCAUGAUGUUCAAAAGGUAUAA